AGAGUUUGAUCAUGGCUCAGAGCGAACGCUGGCGGCAGGCUUAACACAUGCAAGUCGAGCGGGCGCAGCAAUGCGUCAGCGGCAGACGGGAGAGUAACACGUGGGAACGCGCCCUUCGGUUCGGAAUAACUCAGGGAAACUUGAGCUAAUACCGGAUACGCCCUAACGGGGAAAGAUUUAUCGCCGAAGGAACGGCCCGCGUCUGAUUAGCUAGUUGGUGAGGUAAUGGCUCACCAAGGCGACGAUCAGUAGCUGGUCUGAGAGGAUGGCCAGCCUCACUGGGACUGAGACACGGCCCAGACUCCUACGGGAGGCAGCAGUGGGGAAUAUUGGACAAUGGGCGAAAGCCUGAUCCAGCAAUGCCGCGUGAGUGAUGAAGGCCUUAGGGUUGUAAAGCUCUUUUACCCGGGAUGAUAAUGACAGUACCGGGAGAAUAAGCCCCGGCUAACUCCGUGCCAGCCGCCGCGGUAAUAC
rnacentral:rRNA from 1 species